GACGAACGCUGGCGGCGUGCCUAAUACAUGCAAGUAGAACGCACAGUUUAUACCGUAGCUUGCUACAUCAUAGACUGUGAGUUGCGAACGGGUGAGUAACGCGUAGGUAACCUGCCUGGUAGCGGGGGAUAACUAUUGGAAACGAUAGCUAAUACCGCAUAAUAUUAAUUAUUGCAUGAUAAUUAAUUGAAAGGUGCAAUUGCACCACUACCAGAUGGACCUGCGUUGUAUUAGCUAGUAGGUGAGGUAACGGCUCACCUAGGCGACGAUACAUAGCCGACCUGAGAGGGUGAUCGGCCACACUGGGACUGAGACACGGCCCAGACUCCUACGGGAGGCAGCAGUAGGGAAUCUUCGGCAAUGGACGAAAGUCUGACCGAGCAACGCCGCGUGAGUGAAGAAGGUUUUCGGAUCGUAAAGCUCUGUUGUAAGAGAAGAACGGGUGUGAGAGUGGAAAGUUCACACUGUGACGGUAUCUUACCAGAAAGGGACGGCUAACUACGUG
rnacentral:rRNA from 1 species